UGGGGAAUAUUGCACAAUGGGCGCAAGCCUGAUGCAGCCAUGCCGCGUGUAUGAAGAAGGCCUUCGGGUUGUAAAGUACUUUCAGCGGGGAGGAAGGGAGUAAAGUUAAAACCUUUGCUCAUUGACGUUACCCGCAGAAGAAGCAACGGCUAACUCCGUGACAGCAGCCGCGGUAAUACGGAGGGUGCAAGCGUUAAUCGGAAUUACUGGGCGUAAAGCGCACGCAGGCGGUCUGUCAAGUCGGAUGUGAAAUCCCCGGGCUCAACCUGGGAACUGCAUUCGAAACUGGCAGGCUAGAGUCUUGUAGAGGGGGGUAGAAUUCCAGGUGUAGCGGUGAAAUGCGUAGAGAUCUGGUGGAAUACCGGUGGCGAAGGCGGCCCCCUGGACAAAGACUGACGCUCAGGUGCGAAAGCGUGGGGAGCAAACAGG
rnacentral:rRNA from 1 species